AUGGGCGUGGCCGCCUGCAAGAUGUCAUCGCAGCAAGGACCCAUACUGUGGUCACCACCACCCCUGGCGUUGGUGGCGCUGUCAUCGUGACCCAGCACACUGGCCCCCCACAACAGGGCUAUGCAAUGCAGGGGGACUACCCACCCCAGCAGGGCUAUGCCCCCCAACAGGGCUACGCCCCCCUGGGCUACAGCCCCCAGCAGGGCUAUGCCCCCCAGCAGGGCUAUCCUGCCCAGGAGCCAAUCCCUCCAAAGGUUUAGGCGUGUGUUAAGCUGUCAUCUUUAAUACUGAGGAUUUAAAUUUCUAAUAAGGAAAAGUGGCAGUUUCUAUCUUUGUCUCCUUCUCCAGGCAAAGCAGACUGUGGUAUCAAGGCAAAGUACAUCUUAAAAUAGAUUGUGUUUGUAGAGGAUGGUUCGUGGUUUUUUUUUCAAACGAGAGUAUAUUACGUAUAUUUUGGUAUAUUCAUCGGCUCUUUUUUUCCUGUGUACAAUAAGCUAUGCUUCCAAACUGAUACAAUUUGGUGAUUUAGAUGGUGUUUUCUUAAAAAAAAGUUAUUAUGUAUUCGGAAACACUCACUUUUGUGGCACAAAAGUCUUUGCAGAAAUGCCGAACCAUUCUGACAGAUAAAAGGUAUUUCCCUUUACAUCUUAAGACAAUACGGUCACUUUAAGCCUUAUUUCAGUCCAUUUUUCGCAAAAUAUACAUAAUCACGAGCUAAAUAAUUAAAAGUCGAUAGCGUUAGAAUUUUUGACCGGUGUCACUUUCAACCUAUGGUACUGGACCAGCCGCCAAUACCAUAAUGGGGGGCCUGACUGUGUCUGGAUUAGCCUUUGUAGGCCGACACCUUCUGUUCAGUAUUUUAACGUUUGUUUAGUCAUUUUUAAGCGAAUUUUUCCGAAACAUGUUUUCUUAGUAAACGGUUGAAUUACUACUUGCACGAUUCAAUUCUUUCUUACCUUUGGCCUUGCAGCUGUUGCAGGGAAUGGUGGGUUUUGCGCCUAUUCCAUCAUAAAAAUACUGGACUGUAUCACGUACCAUAGAGAUGACAGAGAAACAAAUGUAUUAUUUUUCUCAACUCUGACCGAUUCAGAAAUUGAGAGACGCAUGUGCUUUGUUCAGUCAGCAAAAUUGAAGGCCAUUGGGACAAAGUCCCUCAUACUAUUUGUCAUUAUAUAAUGCCGCAGUCGAUAGCCUGUAAGACAAUCACAAGAGCAGCACAUGAUCUCUGAUAUUCAUUGGAGCAGCAAACCUUUCAUAACAACAGCAUUCCUUUGUCACUGUUGACUCUGUGACGCGUGGCUGGGCGUCUUGUGACUUGUCUUGCGGCGGGAUUUUUUUUCUGGCUUGCGAUGGCUUUGACUGGAACAUUGUUACAUGCGUUGAUCAGCACUGAUCGUAACAAAACAUGCACAGGAAAGCAUUCUAUCGACACAGACAGGCUCACCAAGAAAAACACAAAAANUCAAGGCCAAACUCAGCAACUGAAACACUGCGGCUAAAUUUAACAACUGUCUCCACUACCGGGGGUGGUAAAUUUAAACCAAAGUGUUCAAACUCCAAAGUAGAAAAACUAGACAAGUGCUAACCGUUAAAACCCUAAAAUAAUUUUGAUCGUUCUAGCAAGUUAAUUUUGUUGCCAACGCAGCUCGUCCUUGUUAAGCCUUUUCCAGUUGUACUCAGUGCAUACUCAGAUGUAAAUUGCGCAUUUGGAAUGCAAUCUUAAUAAUACGUUACUCAGAAGACAUCGUUUAAGUACAUGUAAGCACCUAUAUGCAUUUAAGUAUAUGUAAUCUGUUCGCAGCUGUAGUCAGCCCGUAACUUAAGGUAGUUUGCUAAACUUAAAACUGUUCACUUAAGUGAGCAAGAUGGUUUGUACAAUUAAGUUCAACUCCUACAGUACUGAUUUUUUUACUUGAUCCAACAUGUAUUUUUCACUGAGUAUGGUAAAAGCCUUGCCUUUAAUCUUGCUAUUAUUUUUUUUACAAAGUAACUUUCGCAUGGAAGUGCAUAUAACUGGACGCUGACAAUGGCUUUUCACUUUUUCUACCGUUUUUCAACUGGUUUUUUAAUUUUUACUAAGUUUGUAACUAGAUCAGCCACUAUAAACAUUUAAAGAGAGUAGUUAUUGCCAGUAGGCCUACAUGGUUGCUUGCUUCUUUAUUGUUGUGACUGUGCAUUUAUUUUGUGGGGCAUAAAUUGGGUGAAGCCUAAUUCAUCAUUGAAUUUCUUCCAUGAUGCUGGCGACAUUUAAGAAUCGUGCACUGAAUUUCAUAUUUCCUUAGCACUCCGUCUCGGGCAUUAAAUUUGUCUGCCAAGCAAUUGA